rnacentral:rRNA from 1 species
UACGUAGGGCGCAAGCGUUGUCCGGAAUUAUUGGGCGUAAAGAGCUCGUAGGCGGUGUGUCGCGUCGGCCGUGAAAACCUGCAGCUUAACUGUGGGCUUGCGGUCGAUACGGGCAUCACUGGAGUUCGGCAGGGGAGACUGGAAUUCCUGGUGUAGCGGUGAAAUGCGCAGAUAUCAGGAGGAACACCGGUGGCGAAGGCGGGUCUCUGGGCCGAUGACUGACGCUGAGGAGCGAAAGCGUGGGGAGCGAACAGG